rnacentral:rRNA from 1 species
CCUACGGGUGGCUGCAGUGAGGAAUAUUGGUCAAUGGGCGCGAGCCUGAACCAGCCAAGUAGCGUGAAGGAUGACUGCUCUAUGAGUUGUAAACUGCUUUUGUACAAGGGUAAACCUGACUACGUGUAUUCAGCUGAAAGUACUGUACGAAUAAGGAUCGGCUAACUCCGUGCCAGCAGCCGCGGUAAUACGGAGGAUCCAAGCGUUAUCCGGAUUUAUUGGGUUUAACGGGUGCGCAGGCGGAGGUGAAAGUCAGUGGUCAAAUUGCGGGGCUCAACCCCGUACUGCCGUUGAAACUGCAUCCCUUGAGUGCGCGAGAAGUAUGCGGAAUGCGUGGUGUAGCGGUGAAAUGCAUAGAUAUCACGCAGAACUCCGAUGGCGAAGGCAGCAUACCGGCGCGCAACUGACGCUCAUGCACGAAAGCGUGGGUAUCGAACAGGAUUAGAUACCCCGGUAGUC